rnacentral:rRNA from 1 species
AACGCUGGCGGCAGGCUUAACACAUGCAAGUCGAGCGGGCGUAGCAAUACGUCAGCGGCAGACGGGUGAGUAACGCGUGGGAACGUACCUUUUGGUUCGGAACAACACAGGGAAACUUGUGCUAAUACCGGAUAAGCCCUUACGGGGAAAGAUUUAUCGCCGAAAGAUCGGCCCGCGUCUGAUUAGCUAGUUGGUGAGGUAAUGGCUCACCAAGGCGACGAUCAGUAGCUGGUCUGAGAGGAUGAUCAGCCACAUUGGGACUGAGACACGGCCCAAACUCCUACGGGAGGCAGCAGUGGGGAAUAUUGGACAAUGGGCGCAAGCCUGAUCCAGCCAUGCCGCGUGAGUGAUGAAGGCCCUAGGGUUGUAAAGCUCUUUUGUGCGGGAAGAUAAUGACGGUACCGCAAGAAUAAGCCCCGGCUAACUUCGUGCCAGCAGCCGCGGUAAUACGAAGGGGGCUAGCGUUGCUCGGAAUCACUGGGCGUAAAGGGUGCGUAGGCGGGUCUUUAAGUCAGGGGUGAAAUCCUGGAGCUCAACUCCAGAACUGCCUUUGAUACUGAAGAUCUUGAGUUCGGGAGAGGUGAGUGGAACUGCGAGUGUAGAGGUGAAAUUCGUAGAUAUUCGCAAGAACACCAGUGGCGAAGGCGGCUCACUGGCCCGAUACUGACGCUGAGGCACGAAAGC